rnacentral:rRNA from 1 species
CUAAAGAGGGGGACAACAGCUGGAAACGAGUGCUAAUACCGCAUAAGACCACGACAUGGCAUCAUGACGAGGUCAAAGGAGCAAUCCGCUGAGAGAGGGGCUCGCGUCCCAUUAGAUAGAUGGCGGGGUAACGGCCCACCAUGUCAACGAUGGGUAGCCGAGCUGAGAGGCUGAUCGGCCACACUGGAACUGAGAUACGGUCCAGACUCCUACGGGAGGCAGCAGUGGGGAAUAUUGGGCAAUGGGCGCAAGCCUGACCCAGCAACGCCGCGUGAGGGAAGAAGGCUUUCGGGUUGUAAACCUCUGUCCUUAGCUGGGACGAUAAUGACGGUACAAUAAGAGGAAGCCACGGCUAACUACGUGCCAGCAGCCGCGGUAAUACGUAGGUGGCAAACGUUGUCCGGAAUUACUGGGCGUAAAGGGCGAGUAGGUGGUUAUUAAGUCAAGAGUGAAAACUCCGGGCUCAACUCGGAGACUGCUCUACGAAACUGGUAGACUUGAGUGCAAGAGAGGGAAGUGGAAUUCCUAGUGUAGCGGUGAAAUGCGUAGAUAUUAGGAGGAACACCAGUGGCGAAGGCGACUUCCUGGCUUGUAACUGACACUGAGGCGCGAAAGCGUGGGGAUCAAACAGGAUUAGAUACCCUGGUAGUCCACGCCGUAAACGAUGUUCACUCGCUGUCGGGACGAUACAUAUUCAGUGCCACAGCUAACGCAAUAAGCACUCCGCCUGGGGAGUACGGUCGCAAGACUGAAACUCAAAGGAAUUGACGGGGGCCCGCACAAGCGGUGGAGUAUGUGGUUUAAUUCGACGCAACGCGAAGAACCUUACCAGAACUUGACUGAUAGCCAUGGAAACAUGGUCUUGCAAGUUUACUUGCACACGGAGACAGGUGGUGCAUGGUUGUCGUCAGCUCGUGUCGUGAGAUGUUGGGUUAAGUCCCGCAACGAGCGCAACCCCUACAGCUAGUUGCCAGCACAUAAUGGUGGGAACUCUAGCAGAACUGCCGUUGACAAAACGGAGGAAGGUGGGGAUGACGUCAAAUCAUCAUGCCCCUUAUGUCUUGGGCUACACACGUACUACAAUGGCCUGAACAGAGGGAAGCGAAACUGCGAAGUGAAGCAAAUCUUUUAAAGCCGGUCCCAGUUCGGAUUGCAGGCUGAAACUCGCCUGCAUGAAGUUGGAGUUGCUAGUAAUCGCGGAUCAGCAUGCCGUGGUGAAUGCGUUCCCGGGUCUUGUACACACCGCCCGUCACACCAUGGAAGUUGGGGGGACCCGAAGCCAGUGAUCCAACCGUAAGGAGGAAGCUGUCGAAGGUAAAACCAAUGACUGGGGUGAAGUCGUAACAAGGUAACCA